rnacentral:rRNA from 1 species
GAGUCUAGCAUGUGCGCGAGUCAUUGGGACUGUAACGAAACCUAAAGGCGCAAUGAAAGUGAAGGUCCGCCCAGCGCGGACCGAGGGAGGAUGGGCGGUCCCGCGGGACCGCUUCGCACUCCCGGGGCGUCUCGGUCUCAUUGCGAGAAGAGGCGCACCCAGAGCGUACACGCUGGGACCCGAAAGAUGGUGAACUAUGCCUGGUCAGGACGAAGUCAGGGGAAACCCUGAUGGAGGUCCGUAGCGAUUCUGACGUGCAAAUCGAUCGUCGGAACUGGGUAUAGGGGCGAAAGACUAAUCGAACCAUCUAGUAGCUGGUUCCCUCCGAAGUUUCCCUCAGGAUAGCUGGCGCUCGCAUCGCGCGAGUCUCAUUCGGUAAAGCGAAUGAUUAGAGGCAUUGGGGUCGAAACGGCCUCAACCUAUUCUCAAACUUUAAAUGGGUGAGAUCUCCGGCUUGCUUGAACUGUGAAGCCGCGAGAUAUCGGAUCAGAGUGCCAAGUGGGCCACUUUUGGUAAGCAGAACUGGCGCUGUGGGAUGAACCAAACGCCGAGUUAAAGCGCCUAAAUCGACGCUUAUGGGAUACCAUGAAAGGCGUUGGUAACUUAAGACAGCAGGACGGUGGCCAUGGAAGUCGGA